rnacentral:rRNA from 1 species
GAUGAACGCUAGCGGCGGGCCUAACACAUGCAAGUCGAGGGAGAAGCCCUUCGGGGCAGAAACCGGCGCACGGGUGCGUAACGCGUAUGCAACCUACCUUUCACAGGGGGAUAGCCCGAAGAAAUUUGGAUUAAUACCCCAUAAUAUUAUUGGAUGGCAUCAUUUGAUAAUUAAAAUUACGAUGGCGAAAGAUGGGCAUGCGUCCUAUUAGCUAGUUGGAGUGGUAACGGCACCCCAAGGCUACGAUAGGUAGGGGUCCUGAGAGGGAGAUCCCCCACACUGGUACUGAGACAGGGACCAGACUCCUACGGGAGGCAGCAGUGAGGAAUAUUGGUCAAUGGUCGGAAGACUGAACCAGCCAUGCCGCGUGCAGGAAGAAUGCCUUAUGGGUUGUAAACUGCUUUUAUAUGGGAAGAAUAAGGAGUACGUGUACUUUGAUGACG